rnacentral:hammerhead_ribozyme from 1 species
AUCCAGCUGAAUGGUCCCAAAUAGGACGAAACACGCUUCCUGGAU